rnacentral:rRNA from 1 species
AACGAACGCUGGCGGCAUGCCUAACACAUGCAAGUCGAACGAGACCUUCGGGUCUAGUGGCGCACGGGUGCGUAACGCGUGGGAACCUGCCCUUAGGUUCGGGAUAACUCCCCGAAAGGGGUGCUAAUACCGGAUAAUGUCUUCGGACCAAAGAUUUAUCGCCUUUGGAUGGGCCCGCGUUGGAUUAGCUAGUUGGUAGGGUAAAAGCCUACCAAGGCGACGAUCCAUAGCUGGUCUGAGAGGAUGGUCAGCCACACUGGGACUGAGACACGGCCCAGACUCCUACGGGAGGCAGCAGUGGGGAAUAUUGGACAAUGGGCGAAAGCCUGAUCCAGCAAGGCCGCGUGAGUGAUGAAGGCCUUAGGGUUGUAAAGCUCUUUUACCCGGGAUGAUAAUGACAGUACCGGGAGAAUAAGCUCCGGCUAACUCCGUG